UACGUAGGGGGCAAGCGUUAUCCGGAUUUACUGGGUGUAAAGGGAGCGCAGACGGCAGCGCAAGUCUGGAGUGAAAGCCCGGGGCCCAACCCCGGAACUGCUCUGGAAACUGUGCGGCUAGAGUACUGGAGGGGCAGGCGGAAUUCCUAGUGUAGCGGUAAAAUGCGUAGAUAUAUGGAAGAACACCAGUGGCGAAGGCGGCCGCCUGGCCUGUUACUGACGCUGAGGCACGAAAGCGUGGGGAGCAAAUAGG
rnacentral:rRNA from 1 species